rnacentral:lncRNA from 1 species
GACGUACCACCAAGGGAAUGUGGGUGAGUGACCAAGGCAGGUGUCCCCACCGUGAUCAGACACCAAUGGAGUGUGGGUGAAUAAUCAGGCAGGCGUCCCCGCAGUGAUUAAACACCAAGGGAAGACUGUCUUCCCAAGUCCGUGACUGGUGCUGGAGUUUUGGGUCCAUGGAUAAAAUGUGUCUCCUUUGUCUCUACUAGAGAUGAAAAAGAACUGGAAUUGGAAGGACAGGGAGAUUGAAGGGUACCAGGAGAAGGAAUUUCACAAGGUUAAUCGCUCAGUUAAGAUGGGGCAGGAACAAAUCACAAUGGUGGAAUGUCAUCAGUUAAGGCAGGAACAGGCCAUUUUCACUGCUUUUGUGAUUCUUUGGUUACUUCAGGCCAUCUGGAUGUAUACGUGCAGGUCACAGGGGAGGAUGGCUUAGCUUGGGCUCAGAGGCCUGACAGUCGUUUUAUCUAAAUCAGCGUGAGACCAAGGACCCUGGUGUUCCUCCAGUCAUUGGAGCCAUAUCAUUUGUGUUCUUAAGACCAAAAUACAUGGGCAAAGAUCCUACUUGAUUCUUACAAUGUAAAAAUCUCCCAGUUAGUAAACAAAGGCCUGGUUUGAGUCACCACAAUAUAGUCAUGGCCCCUGACCUAAUUCUCACACCUAGGUCAGACUAAGAAUGAAGAGCCAGAGAAAAGGCCCUGUCAUCACAUCACAAGUUCUUGCCAUGAAUCUUCUUUUCUCCAAGCCUUCUUCACAGGAUCCAAGGGCACCAGACACUCUGGGGAUUAUCAGACACUGUGUAUGCACUAACACUAAUUCUUGGAGACCCAGAAUUCCACUGUGACUUCCCAUCAGAGUGAAAGCAUUACUGCUACAUUGAGGGAGUAGCCCUUACAAACAGUGGAGACAGGAAAUCUUCCAAGGGAACAGAAUUGUUAAGUAACAUAUCUCCUCCAUUCUGUCAGGAGGUAGAGAUGUCUGAUAUAAAAAUCUAUGCUGAUUCACAGAUAGUGGCUAAUAACAUAACCAGAUGACCAGAAAUUUGGAAAGAACACAACUGGGUAUGAGGUCUGGAGGAAAAGUAUGCCCAGAGUUCUUGGAAUGGGCCCAAAGAAUCAGAAUAUUUGUGUCCUAUGUGAAUGCUCAGUUAAAAGCCUUCAGUGCUUAUACUAAUCAAGUGGUCAAGAUGACCUCUGUAUGGAUGUCAAUCGGCUGUCUUUUCCAGCCACCCCAGUGCUUAAGAUUCAUGGUCAAAUUGGCCAAGAGUGCAGGGAUGUGGCCUCCACAAUGUGGACUUCCCCCUCACCACAGCUGACAUGACAACCCAGCUAUAUUGACAGCCUACUUGUCAGCAGCAGUGACCAACCAGGCAAGUCCACACCCAGGAGAGAACAGCCCAAGUCUGACGGCAGGUUGAUUACAUCUGAUCCUCUUCUAUCACAGAGCAGGCAGCAAUUUGUCCUUCCUGGAGGGGACACACCUUGGAAUUGUAUUUGUUUUGUAUGUUCUCCAAAUUUUUACCACCACCACCCUUCAUGAACUUACUAAAUGGUUUUUACAUUGUUUGUUAGGCUAUCCCAUAGACAUUGCUUCUGAUCAUGAAACUCACUUUAUGGUGAAAAGAGGGCAGGUAUGUCAGCUCAGUGAUUUCAUCAAAGAACUGAGAAACAAAGUGCAAUGCAGGGUGACGUGUCUCAGUUUAAUACUAGUGAUCCACUAAGUCUUUGUUUCUAUCCCCUGGGAUUCUGAGCUUUGCUGGUUUAGAACCUUGAACCUCCUGGGAGCAAGUGAUCCUCCUACCUCAGCCUCCCAAGUAGCUGGGACUAGAGGCAUACCAUCAUGCAUGGCUAAUUUUUUUUUUAAGAGAUGGGGUCUCACUAUGUUGCCCAGGCUUACUUGUAUAUUUUAAUUAAUGUUCUCCUUUUUGCUGUUCCCUUACCCCAUUACUAUAUAGUUAAGAUAUUAGAUACGCAGAUUGUAUUGAUGGUGGCUAACUUUAUAAUUUAGUUCAUAUAUGAGAGAAUAUCAAGAUAAAAUCAUAACUGGAACUAGGAGAGGAAUGGAUGUCAUUUAAAUAUCUUGGGCUUGGAGCUGGAUGUAGUAUAGUAGAGGGAUGUGAUUUCAUUUCUGGUUGAGCGGAUAAUUAAAUGUAUUUGAAUUAUGUGUAAAUUUCACAUUUUUUGAUAUACAAAGAACAGAUAAUUGUAUCAGUAGGUAAUAGGAUAUUUUAUUUCAAAACAGUGAAGAAGCUGCUAAGCAUAAAAUUUGUCAAAUGCU